rnacentral:tRNA from 1 species
GGGGAGAUAGCGAAGAGGCUAAACGCGAUUGACUGUAACUCAAUUCCCUCAGGGUUCGGCGGUUCGAAUCCGUCUCUCCCCACCA